CGCAUCAAUAAAUAAUUUAAAAUAAUAUGAUAUUGUUUAUUUAUAUACUUUAAUAGUUUAAAUUAUAAUGAAAGUGUAAUUCAUGAUAGCUAUAAAAUGUUAUUCAAUAUUUAUAAAAUUUUGAACCCCAUACGAUGGCAUGAUGGCCAAGGGCGUUCACUGUCCCAGUUAUGGUCUGGGUUUGAGUCGCGCUAAUCGUAUUUGUUAUUCAAGUUUUGCCCUGUCAUUAUUGUAACACUCCCUAGCCCCAAACCGUCGCUGGAACAGGGUUACGAGGUAUUACAUGACAUAUCAAACAAUUUACAAAUAAUUCAUAUAAAUUUUACUAAUAGACUUCAUUCAUUUUUUUUAUAAAAAUUUCGGUAGCAUUUCUACUUAUUUUUACAUACAACCCCCUGCAAAAUUUCAAACAUAACCAACCCAAUUCCAGUAUUUCAACCAAGGCAUUUAUAUACUUAAAUCUUACUUGACAUAUUGACAUAACAACUUAUUUAAUAAAAAUACUAUUAUCAUUUCUAAUUAACACAUAAAAACUAAUCAAGUCAUUUCAAUUCGAUACCAAUGCCAUAAAGGACUUCUACCAAUUUGCUAAUAUAAUCAUCAAAAUACAUAAUAUCUUACUUUACAACAAAACUAUAUAACAUACCAAAAUAACUAUUAUAAUUCUUAUGUACAUGCCACUUUCUCUUAAAGGAAGAAAACAUCACCAAAAUCUUUAUGUCGGAGUCGGGAUUGUCCUGGAUGCUGAACCGAGACUCUGAUCCCUUUUCAACUUGCACACGGAAACAACCGUACACUGAGUAUUGUAUACUCAGUGGUAUUACCAUAAUUCAAAUUAUAAUAACAACAAAGAAUUAUAAUUACCAAGCAUGUAACUAUCCGAUUUCUUAAAUAUCAAUUAAUUUAUAAACUUUCAUUAACUAACAAUAACAAUACAAUUUUUAGCUAUUCUUCAAUUUCAAUCAUAUAUCACAUGUAAUAAUUUCAAUCACUACAUAAACAUUAAAUUCAUGCCUUUCAUUUUCAAUCUCAAAUUUCAAUCCACAAUUUUAACUUUUCUUAUUUCAAUUAUUCACCCUAUUAACAAUCUGGAUUUUGACGGAUACACGGAUUCCAACCCAAACACACCAAUACGGCACAUUGUGCCUAAAACGGUAUAUAGUACCUGAUUAGUAUACGACACAUAAGUGUCUGAAACGACACACGAGGUGCCUGAUACGACACAUAAAGUGCCUGAAAUACGACACAUAAAGUGCCUGAUCGGCAAAGCCGAUAAAUCCCGUACUCUUCUAAAUCCUAUGGCAUGCCAAUUAUAUCCGACUCAGCCCGACUAGUUAAUAGGGUAUAUAAAUUUCUCGAUCUAAAUUUCACUUUUAUUUCAAAAAUUCAUUUUCAAUAUCAAUUAUACUUUUUCCUUUCACUAAUUAAACACAGUUCAAUACCAACACAUACUUUUCUCAUUCAAUUUAAUUUUUUUUUUCCAAAUUCAAUUCAAUAGUCACUUACCUUAUCAUAUGCUUGCCAUACACAUAAUUUAAAUUUAACAUCAAAUAAUAAAUAAUUUGAAUUAUAGUAAUACAAACCCGAAUUUUGCUCGAUUAUUCCUCAAUAACCUUCUCCUUUCCUUUGUGUGCCGAUGCCUCGAGUUCCUUGUUAGCUACGAAAAUAAUAAUAAUUUACACCAUCAAUUACAACAUUAAUUUAUAACAAUAAUAAAAUUUCUAUCUAAUUUAUACUUUAAUUCCAAUUUAAUUCACACUCUAUUUCUAUUCAAAUUUCUUCUAAACUCAAAUUUAACUACCAAAUUUUCAGCAUAUUUCAUUAAUUUCGAAUUUUCAUCAAUUUAAUCCCUACAAACAUAAAACUUAUAGCUUACUUCACAAUUUAAUCCUUUUAUCAACUCUAACUAGAAAUUCUAUCAAAUAAAACCUCAAUUCCAUCAUUUAUUCAACAUAAACCCUACUAAAAAUCUAUUAACUUUCAAAUUUUCAACUUAAAUCCAAGAGUAUUUCACUCUAGGGUUCCAAAAAACAUCAAAUUUAUGAGAAAAGGACUUGAUUUAGCUUACCUAUUAAACUUCAAGUUUCAAAAUCUUAAUUUUCCCUCUUUCUUUUCUUUCCCUUUUUCUUCUCCUGUUUUCGUCUCUUUCUCUGUUUCUUUUCUGUUCUUCUUUUGUUUCUUUUUCUUUUUGUUUUACUUACUUUAUUUUAAU
rnacentral:lncRNA from 1 species